UACGGGGGGGGCAAGCGUUGUUCGGAAUUACUGGGCGUAAAGGGCUCGUAGGCGGCCAACUAAGUCCGACGUGAAAUCCCCAGGCUUAACCUGGGAACUGCGUCGGAUACUGGAUGGCUUGAAUUCGGGAGAGGGAUGCAGAAUUCCAGGUGUAGCGUGAAAUGCGUAGAUAUCUGGAGGAAUACCGGUGGCGAAGGCGGCAUCCUGGACCGACAUUGACGCUGAUGAGCGAAAGCUAGGGGAGCAAACGGG
rnacentral:rRNA from 1 species